rnacentral:lncRNA from 1 species
GUGGGAUUUAAAAAAUGCACAUUACCACCAUGCAGGGGCGCAAGUCUCGAAAAUUGAAAAGACAACGACGAGCGGAACAAGGCAUAUAGUUAUGGAUGAUAUUGUGCUAAACAAUCAUAAAAAUUGUAAGAAAAGUGAUAACCACUGACCCGAUAUGGUUUGGAGGGGAAAACAAGGGGUGUACGCCCUCAACGCCCUUAU